rnacentral:rRNA from 1 species
AAACCAGCACCUCAAGUGGUCAGGAGGAUUAUUGGGCCUAAAGCAUCCGUAGCCUGUUCUAUAAGUUUCCGGUUAAAUCCAUUAGCUCAACUAAUGGGCCGCCGAAAAUACUGUAGAACUAGGGAGUGGGAGAGGUAGACGGUAUUCGGUAGGAAGGGGUAAAAUCCUUUGAUCUAUUGAGGACCACCAGAGGCGAAGGCGGUCGACUAGAACGUGCCUGACGGUGAGGGACGAAAGCUGGGGUAGCGAACCGGAUUAGAUACCCGAGUAGUCC